rnacentral:rRNA from 1 species
GAUGAACGCUGGCGGCGUGCCUAAUACAUGCAAGUCGAGUGAACAGAUAAGGAGCUUGCUCCUUUGACGUUAGCGGCGGACGGGUGAGUAACACGUGGGUAACCUAUCUAUAAGACUGGAAUAACUCCGGGAAACCGGGGCUAAUGCCGGAUAACAUGUUGAACCGCAUGGUUCUACAGUGAAAGGCGGCUUUGCUGUCACUUAUAGAUGGACCCGCGCCGUAUUAGCUAGUUGGUGAGGUAACGGCUCACCAAGGCAACGAUACGUAGCCGACCUGAGAGGGUGAUCGGCCACACUGGAACUGAGACACGGUCCAGACUCCUACGGGAGGCAGCAGUAGGGAAUCUUCCGCAAUGGGCGAAAGCCUGACGGAGCAACGCCGCGUGAGUGAUGAAGGUCUUCGGAUCGUAAAACUCUGUUAUUAGGGAAGAACAAAUGCGUAAGUAACUGUGCGCGUCUUGACGGUACCUAAUCAGAAAGCCACGGCUAACUACGUG